rnacentral:rRNA from 1 species
CCCUCUGGGCUCCCUGGUGAAUCAUGAUAACUGCACGAAUCGCAUGGCCUUGCGCCGGCGAUGGCUCAUUCAAAUUUCUUCCCUAUCAACUUUCGAUGUUUGGAUAGAGGCCAAACAUGGUUGCAACGGGUAACGGAGGGUUAGGGCUCGACCCCGGAGAAGGAGCCUGAGAAACGGCUACUACAUCCAAGGAAGGCAGCAGGCGCGCAAAUUACCCAAUCCCGACACGGGGAGGUAGUGACAAUAAAUACUGAUACAGGGCUCUUUUGGGUCUUGUAAUUGGAAUGAGUACAAUUUAAAUCCCUUAACGAGGAACAAUUAGAGGGCAAGUCUGGUGCCAGCAGCCGCGGUAAUUCCAGCUCUAAUAGCGUAUAUUAAAGUUGUUGUGGUUAAAAAGCUCGUAGUUGAACCUCGGGCCUGGCUGGCCGGUCCGCCUCACCGCGUGCACUGCGCCGGCCGGGCCUUUCCCGCUGCGGAACCCUAUGCCCUUCACUGGGUGUAGCGGGGAAACAGGACUUUUACUUUGAAAAAAUUAGAGUGCUCCAGGCAGGCCUAUGCUCGAAUACAUUAGCAUGGAAUAAUGAAAUAGGACGCGCGGUUCUAUUUUGUUGGUUUCUAGGACCGCCGUAAUGAUUAAUAGGGACAGUCGGGGGCAUCAGUAUUCAGUUGUCAGAGGUGAAAUUCUUGGAUUUACUCAAGACUAACUACUGCGAAAGC